rnacentral:rRNA from 1 species
AAGUCGAACGCCUGAAGCCUGGUGCUUGCACCGGGUGGAUGAGUGGCGAACGGGUGAGUAAUACGUGAGUGACCUGCCUUUGACUCUGGGAUAAGCCUGGGAAACUGGGUCUAAUACCGGAUGCGACUACUGCCCGCAUGGGCUGGUGGUGGAAAGGGUUAUGUACUGGUCUUAGAUGGGCUCACGGCCUAUCAGCUGGUUGGUGGGGUAAUGGCCUACCAAGGGCGACGACGGGUAGCCGGCCUGAGAGGGUGACCGGCCACACUGGGACUGAGACACGGCCCAGACUCCUACGGGAGGCAGCAGUGGGGAAUAUUGCACAAUGGGCGCAAGCCUGAUGCAGCGACGCCGCGUGAGGGAUGACGGCCUUCGGGUUGUAAACCUCUUUCAGCAGGGAAGAAGCGGAAGUGACGGUACCUGCAGAAGAAGCGCCGGCUAACUACGUGCCAGCAGCCGCGGUAAUACGUAGGGCGCAAGCGUUGUCCGGAAUUAUUGGGCGUAAAGAGCUCGUAGGCGGCUUGUCGCGUCUGCUGUGAAAGCCCGGGGCUUAACUCCGGGUGUGCAGUGGGUACGGGCAGGCUAGAGUGCAGUAGGGGUAACUGGAAUUCCUGGUGUAGCGGUGAAAUGCGCAGAUAUCAGGAGGAACACCGAUGGCGAAGGCAGGUUACUGGGCUGUUACUGACGCUGAGGAGCGAAGCAUGGGGAGCGAACAG